rnacentral:rRNA from 1 species
GUCCUAGCUGUAAACAAUGGAUACUAGAUGUUGAACAGAUCGACCUGUGCAGUAUUAAAGCUAACGCGUUAAGUAUCCCGCCUGGGAAGUAUGCUCGCAAGAGUGAAACUCAAAGGAUUGACGGGGGCCCGCACAAGCGGUGGAGCAUGUGGUUUAAUUCGAUGCAACGCGAAGAACCUUACCAGGGUUUGACAUGAUACGAAUUUUUUGAAAGAAAAGUAGCCGUUUGGAACGUAUACACAGGUGGUGCAUGGCUGUCGU